rnacentral:rRNA from 1 species
GACGAACCGUGCGAACGUUGUUCGGAAUCACUGGGCUUAAAGGGCGCGUAGGCGGGCUCGCAAGUCAGGGGUGAAAGCCCGCGGCUCAACCGCGGAAGCGCCUUUGAUACUGCGGGCCUCGAGGGGGGUAGGGGCGUGCGGAACUUCCGGUGGAGCGGUGAAAUGCGUAGAUAUCGGGAGGAACACCGGUGGCGAAGGCGGUUCUCUGGGCCUUACCUGACGCUGAGGAGCGAAAGCGUGGGGAGCGAACAGG